rnacentral:rRNA from 1 species
AGUGAACGCUGGCGGUAGGCCUAACACAUGCAAGUCGAACGGCAGCACAGUAAGAGCUUGCUCUUACGGGUGGCGAGUGGCGGACGGGUGAGGAAUACAUCGGAAUCUACUUUUUCGUGGGGGAUAACGUAGGGAAACUUACGCUAAUACCGCAUACGACCUACGGGUGAAAGCAGGGGAUCUUCGGACCUUGCGCGUUUGAAUGAGCCGAUGUCGGAUUAGCUAGUUGGCAGGGUAAAGGCCCACCAAGGCGACGAUCCGUAGCUGGUCUGAGAGGAUGAUCAGCCACACUGGAACUGAGACACGGUCCAGACUCCUACGGGAGGCAGCAGUGGGGAAUAUUGGACAAUGGGCGCAAGCCUGAUCCAGCCAUACCGCGUGGGUGAAGAAGGCCUUCGGGUUGUAAAGCCCUUUUGUUGGGAAAGAAAAGCAGCAGGUUAAUACCCCGCUGUUCUGACGGUACCCAAAGAAUAAGCACCGGCUAACUUCGUG